rnacentral:rRNA from 1 species
GAUGAACGCUAGCUACAGGCUUAACACAUGCAAGUCGCGGGGCAGCAUGAGGGUUGCUUGCAAUUCUUGGUGGCGACCGGCGUACGGGUGAGUAACGCGUAUCCAACCUGCCCAUCACUACGGGAUAACCCGUUGAAAGGCGGACUAAUACCGUAUGAUAUCGUCUGAUGGCAUCAGAUGACGAUUAAAGGUUUAUUGCUGAAAGAUGGCCUCGCGUCUGAUUAGCUAGUUGGUGGGGUUAACGGCCCACCAAGGCGACGAUCAGUAGCCGGACUGAGAGGUUGACCGGCCACAUUGGGACUGAGAUACGGCCCAG